CGGUCGCCCGACCUCCACCCUUUGUGAACACCACUUGUUGCUUCGGGGGCGACCCUGCCGACGAACUCGUCGCCGGGCGCCCCCGGAGGUCUUCUAAACACUGCAUCUUUGCGUCGGAGUUUACACAAAUGAAACAAAACUUUCAACAACGGAUCUCUUGGUUCUGGCAUCGAUGAAGAACGCAGCGAAAUGCGAUAAGUAAUGUGAAUUGCAGAAUUCAGUGAAUCAUCGAAUCUUUGAACGCACAUUGCGCCCUUUGGUAUUCCGAAGGGCAUGCCUGUUCGAGCGUCAUUUCACCACUCAAGCCUGGCUUGGUAUUGGGCGUCGCGGUUCUUCGCGCGCCUUAAAGUCUUCCGGCUGAGCUGUCCGUCUCUAAGCGUUGUGGAUUUUUCAAUUCGCUUCGGAGUGCGGGUGGCCACGGCCGUUAAAUCUUUACUCAAAGG
rnacentral:sRNA from 1 species